rnacentral:rRNA from 1 species
GCGUGAGUGAUGAAGGCCCUAGGGUUGUAAAGCUCUUUCGGCGGGGAUGAUAAUGACCGUACCCGCAGAAGAAGCCACGGCUAAAUUCGUGCCAGCAGCCGCGGUAAUACGAAUGUGGCAAGCGUUGUUCGGAAUCACUGGGCGUAAAGAAUGCGUAGGCGGCUAGACAAGUCAGGAGUGAAAUCCCCGGGCUCAACCCGGGAACUGCUCUUGAAACUAUCUUGCUAGAGUCCCGGAGGGGUCAAUGGAAUUCCGAGUGUAGAGGUGAAAUUCGC